GAGGGUAUAGCUCAGUGGUAGAGUGUGUGCUUAGCAUGCACGAGGUCCUGGGUUCAAAUUCCAGAGCCUCCA
rnacentral:tRNA from 1 species